GUAACUUACAACGUAAAUGAAACUAAACUUGAGUUACAAGUUGAGGUUUGCACUUAACAAACCCCAGUUUUCAGAUUAAGCUAUUUAAAGUUAAACAUGCUGGUUUAGUGGCCCAAAAUUGUUGGAUUAAAUAUAAUUCUACGCUUUUCAUCUGCACUAAUGAUCGUAAAAACACCCAAUUAGGUUCCUGGAGUAACGCAGAGUGUUUUACAUCGAAAACUUAAAUUCCACAUUUUUGUGCCAAUUUGACAAUAAUUAUCGCAUUUGCAAAAUGUUUGCAUCAGAAUGGUGAUACAAAGAAAUUUCGCAAACAAAUGCAUUUAAAUAUAUUUUAGAAAUAAAUGUCACCUCUUGUGAAUUUUGGCAACAUGCAUAAUUAUGUCCAUACAGCGUUCUAACCAAAAACGAUUGGUGCCGAAUAUUCGACUUUCCUCCUCCUGACUGAACCAAGAUAAGGUUUUCUCGGCUUAAAAAAAUAGGAGCGUCUUCUCAAAGCGUUUUGUUGAUUCAUUCUUCUCGAAUUUUCUAAAAUCCGGUUUGGAAUCUUUUGGUUCACCACCAUCCCUCUUCUCCCCGAUCCAUCUAGAAAUUGUAUAAAAAGAAGACGAAAGUCUCAUUGUCUCACCAGUAAUUAAACGCAGUGUGUGAUUCUCCAUCAAACUCAUCAAACCCUCAUCAUGUUCAAGUUGGUCGUUGCUAUCUUCGCCGCAGUUGCCUCUUUGGCCUCCGCUCAAUACGCUCUCUAUAAUAACCAUGCCGCCUACCACCAUGGCGCUCCCGUAGGCUAUGCCGCUCACUCCGCCUACGCUGUCCCUGCCGCCCACUAUGCUGCCGCUCCCGUCGCCUACCACGCUGCUGCUCACACCGCCUACGCCGCUCAAUCCGCCUACGCUGUCCCUGCCGCCCACUAUGCUGCCGCUCCCGUAGCCCACCACGCUGCUGUUCAAACCGCCUAUGCUGCUCCUGCCGCCUACGCUGCUCCCACCGUUUAUCACACUGUCCCUGUCGCCCACCAUGGUGCUUCAGUCUCCCACCAUGGUUCCUCUGCCGCCCACCAUGGUGCUUCAGUCUCUCACCACGGUGCCUCCGUCUCCCACCAUGAUGGUUCAGUCUCCCACCAUGAUGUCUCAGUCUCCCACCACGCUGCCGGUGCCGAACACACCCCUGUCGUCUCCACCUACCAAGGCGCCCAUCAUCAAAACACAUACGUCAAGAAAUAAAUGGAGUAAGCCACAAUUUUCAUCUCGCAACCGCCAACUUGUUCCUUCAAUUAAAACUUAAAUUUCUGACAUGAAUAUUCUGAGUUAACUCUCAAUAGUAUAUAUUUCACCUACAUUUUUCCAUCACACCGCAAAAGUCCUAAAAUUUCAAUGAGAACAAAAAAUAAAAUGAAACAGAGUCAACAACAAAUCUGCGUUUUUUUAUUUUCCAGUUAUCAUCCAGAUACUUUUACUUGCAAAAAGUCGACACAUUGCGUAGUUUGACCGGCUCCAGUGGCGAGGAAUGAAUGGUUGAUUAUCGAAAUCUCUCCGUUUGAAGCUGUGGUGAAGAAUCGAUUAUUAAGGUGUUCGUUGCGAACACCCUCUUUAUCGAUACUUUUUCAUAGGUUUAAAUAGCAUAACAAUCGAUAUAUCGCAAUUCACGCCACGCCACUGGCCGGCUCUUAAGGUAUAUUUACAUACGGGAAAAUUCAAAUUUAAGGAAUAAGUAAUUUUCUCUUAUAAUAUUGAUAGCCUCAUACUUUCUUCAAUUUAGUCUUCUUGAUUUCCUAGAUUAUGCACGGAAUUAUGAAUUCAUAGAAUCAUGUUCCUCCUCAUUUGCAGCAUCAAAAACUUGAGAUGAAGUUGCAGAGAGCGAAUGGCAUGUCUGUGGCAGUGACGUGGUGUGAUUGCUAUAUAUCUAUUGAUCUGUCAUUUAAACCUAUGAAAAAGGAUCGAUGGGCGGAGUGUUCGCAACGAACACCUUAAUCAUCGAUUCUUUACC
rnacentral:lncRNA from 1 species